rnacentral:lncRNA from 1 species
CAGUGAUCCAUAACUUUGCUGGUAUCAGCAGACUGCAGUGGAAGUUACUGGAAAGGGGGCAGGAACAGAGCUGGAAUAAGGGAUAUGAUGCUGCUUUCCCUAACUAAACGGAAGCGGCUGUAAACACGCUUGCCCUAGAAGUCUAAGGACCAGGCAAACCCCAGGUCAAGGAGCACCGGGCUGUGAGCAACGGGUGGCAGCAGCGAGCCCGGCUGCAGUACCGGGCUGUGAACGGGCGAGGGCGCCAUUUCCCGUCUCGCCUCCUCCAGCCCCUUCCCCGGCCGCUGUGUUCGUGUCCGGCGCAUGCGCGGUGCUCGGUAGCAGCGUGGCGGCGGGUUGGCAGCGGAUUUCCUCUCGGCGGUGAUGGGUGAGAGCCGGAGCCGCGUGGCGCUGGGGACUCGGGGGCGCCGGUGAGGCGAGCGCGUCCCUCCGGGUGGCCGCGGCCGUCGAGGAUGUCUUUCGCCUGCUGGGGCCGUCGCUGCGUGGAGGCGGAGGUGCGGGGCAAGGGAGGGAGCUCGACCUCGGCUCCGCUCCGUGCCGGGAGCGCGGGCGGACUUUCCCUGUUCCGUGUGUCGCCUUUAGGGCCCCGGUUCCUCCCCAGCGUGGGCCGGGGCGUGCGCUCGCCCCUGCGGACGCGGCCCGGAGGAGCGGGGAGGCAGGCGGGCCCCGGAGCGGGCUUGUGGCGCGGCGUCCGCGGGCAGACGGCUCCUGUUGUGGCAGGCAGGCCCGAGAGUGCUGAGAUGGAACCAAUGAUAGCAAAUGCUGACAAAGAGAGAAGCUGGACAAGCAAUUUUUUUGUCAUUAGUACCUAG